UUCCACAGCUACUGGUCUGCAGCUGUUCUUACGGUAGCAGUUGUGGCAUUCCUCUGUGGGAAAGAAACUGUUAACACAAACACCUCUUUCUUAGCAAAACAGAAAGUGGGCAUAUGUGUGACAGACACAA
rnacentral:snoRNA from 1 species